GGUAAAUAUAGCGAUACAGAGUCAGUGUAACAGGAUAGGUCAGGGGUCACCACGUGUAACAGGAUAGGUCAGGGGUCACCACGUGUAACAGGAUAGGUCAGGGGUCACCACGUGUAACAAGAUAGGUCAGGGGUCACCAUCUGUAACAGGUUCUGUCGGUCAGACGUGAGAGAAGACAAUCACCUCAGAUCAUCAGAAGAGAAUCUCCAGGGUUACACUAGUAACGAGAGAGUGUUAGGUAAAUAUAGCGAUACAGAGUCAGUGUAACAGGAUAGGUCAGGGGUCACCACGUGUAACAGGAUAGGUCAGGGGUCACCACGUGUAACAGGAUAGGUCAGGGGUCACCACGUGUAACAAGAUAGGUCAGGGGUCACCAUCUGUAACAGGAUAGGUCAGGGGUCACCAUCUGUAACAGGAUAGGUCAGGGGUCACCACGUGUAACAGGAUAGGUCAGGGGUCACCAUCUGUAACAGGAUAGGUCAGGGGUCACCACGUGUAACAGGAUAGGUCAGGGGUCACCACGUGUAACAGGAUAGGUCAGGGGUCACCAUCUGUAACAGGAUAGGUCAGGGGUCACCACGUGUAACAGGAUAGGUCAGGGGUCACCAUCUGUAACAGGAUAGGUCAGGGGUCACCACGUGUAACAGGAUAGGUCAGGGGUCACCAUCUGUAACCGGAUAGGUCAGGGGUCACCAUCUGUAACAGGUUCUGUCGGUCAGACGUGAGAGAAGACAAUCACCUCAGAUCAUCAGAAGAGAAUCUCCAGGGUUACACUAGUAACGAGAGAGUGUUAGGUAAAUAUAGCGAUACAGAGUCAGUGUAACAGGAUAGGUCAGGGGUCACCACGUGUAACAGGAUAGGUCAGGGGUCACCACGUGUAACAGGAUAGGUCAGGGGUCACCAUCUGUAACAGGAUAGGUCAGGGGUCACCACGUGUAACAGGAUAGGUCAGGGGUCACCACGUGUAACAGGAUAGGUCAGGGGUCACCACGUGUAACAAGAUAGGUCAGGGGUCACCAUCUGUAACAGGAUAGGUCAGGGGUCACCAUCUGUAACAGGA